CAGCAGCCGCGGGAAUACGUAGGUGGCAAGCGUUGUCCGGAAUUAUUGGGCGUAAAGGGCUCGCAGGCGGUUUCUUAAGUCUGAUGUGAAAGCCCCCGGCUCAACCGGGGAGGGUCAUUGGAAACUGGGAAACUUGAGUGCAGAAGAGGAGAGUGGAAUUCCACGUGUAGCGGUGAAAUGCGUAGAGAUGUGGAGGAACACCAGUGGCGAAGGCGACUCUCUGGUCUGUAACUGACGCUGAGGAGCGAAAGCGUGGGGAGCGAACAGGAUUAGAGACCCCAGUAGUCCCUGUCUCUUAUAC
rnacentral:rRNA from 1 species